AUUCGAAACGGAGGUUCAAUCCUCCGUCCGGCGGAAUGGUGCCCGUCGCUGAUGAUGAUAGCCAGUC
rnacentral:hammerhead_ribozyme from 1 species